rnacentral:rRNA from 1 species
UACGUAUGUGGCAAGCGUUGUCCGGAUUUAUUGGGUUUAAAGGGUGCGUAGGCGGUCAGAUAAGUCAGUGGUGAAAUACGGCAGCUUAACUGUCGAGGUGCCAAUGAUACUGUUUGACUAGAGUACUGAUGAGGUAGGCGGAAUGGACGGUGUAGCGGUGAAAUGCUUAGAGAUCGUCCAGAACACCGAUCGCGAAGGCAGCUUACUAAGGAGUAACUGACGCUGAGGCACGAAAGUGUGGGGAUCAAACAGG